CGUUUAGGGGUAAACCUGAGAAACCCGAAAGGUCGAAGGAAGAAAUUCAUUCGUGCCCGAUAGAGUUAUUGUGUGGCGUGGGUGUCGAAUUAUUGUAAAAUUUUUCGCCCUGUCAUAUAAUAUAUGUACUUUGUUGGAUGCGUGCACUUUUCUUCUGGUAGGACGUUGCGAUCCGUUGAGUGUUGAUCUACGGUUUGAAUGGUAGCCCGUUUUUAUUGAUUUUAUUAUCGAUGAAAACGGACCUUUGAUACCCGAUCAACUGGCUCGACGGUAUAUUGAAUGGUUUUGGGUCGCUUUAUAAUAAAGCGUUCGGCUUGUUUAGCAAGUAUGUUAAAUGUUUCGGUAUCACGGACCUCGUGCCGUGGCUGAUCCUUAACUACUGUUUGCUACUUUGUCUCGAACAGACCAGACUUUUUAACCGAUCAGCAACGAUAUAGCUUUGGGUAAUUUCAGGACCCGUCUUGAAACACGGACCAAGGAGUCUAGCAUGUACGCAAGUCAUUGGGAAUCAAUAAACCUAAAGGCGUAAUGAAAGUAAACGUUUAUCUUUACGGUGAACGUAGGGAGGACGGGCGUUAAACUUUAUAGUUUGCGUUCAGCACUCCCGGGGCGUCUUAUUCUCAUUACGAGAAGAGGCGCACCAUGAGCGUA
rnacentral:rRNA from 1 species